AAAUACUUUAGAACAUUCCAUUUGAAAAUGGAGGAAGAAGACGUGGAACGAAAAAAUAUCGCUUUCAGCGUUAUGCUGCCCUCAAAAGGACGCAACAGAAGGAUGAGAAAGAAGUCGUUUACUGAGGCUGUCAAAGAAAAGUACUGCAUGAGUGACCCCAAUAAGAUAUACACAUCAGGGUUUGUAAUAGACAUCAAAGUGACUGGCAAGCCGAAGACGAGCGAUUCGGAGGCAGAAUUGGCGUAUCUGAGAAAUGUGGUGUUGAACAACAGUUGUGUGGGUCACGCUGGUGUGCCAAAUGAGGGAUUGUCCAGUCUCUGUCCCAAUGUAGUUGACCUUGACCUUUCCAGCAAUGACCUUACGGACUGGAAGGACAUGUUGACCAUCCUGUCUAACCUUCAGUGCCUUAAGUUUGUCAACUUGGCAAGAAACAAACUUCAAAAUAAAGAGAACACCAUUCAGUCGUGGAACGCUCCUCUGCCCCAGAUAGAGAAUCUGGUUUUGAAUGGAACAUUUACCAGCUGGCAGGAUGUCAUAGACCUGACCAAAAAGAUUCCCUCUCUUACAGAGCUACAUGCUUGUGAAAAUGAAUAUGAAGAUUUAGAUCAUCCAGAGGAUGCCUACAAAUGUUUACAAAACAUCACCUGUCUCAGACUGAAUAACAACAGACUCAGAAGUUGGGAAGAAAUUUGGAAAUUGAAACACCUGCCCCAGUUGGAAUCUCUGAUUCUGUCUGGUAACCCCAUCCAACACAUAUUUUACAAAGAGGAGGAGGAAUGUAGAAUAUGCUGUCUGGAGAAUCCGGCAGAAGAGAUGGAGACUGAGAGAGAUAUUUCCAUGGAGAUACAAGACAUAGUGGAAGACAUUGUCGGUGACGUUCUGCAGAUGGCAGACAGCAUGGAAACAAAGGAAGGGGAGGAGUCGUCGAAGAGCACAGAGUGUCAGCAUGGGGACCCUUUCUCCAGACUCAAACUGAUCUGUCUGAGUGAAACUCAACUCAAUAACUGGACUCACUGUGAUGAGCUGAGAAAGUACCCAGCACUCAAGUCUCUCAGGAUCAAGGACAUUCCUCUGGUGAAGAAACUGGAUCCAGAAGAAAGAAGAAAACUGCUUGUUGCUCAUAUGCCCAACAUAAUGAUCUUGAAUGGAAGUGAAGUAACAAGUACAGAGAGAGAUAAGUCGGAGAGACAUUUUAUUCGUUAUUUUAUGGACAAAGGGAGCAAGCCAGAAAGAUUUUUUGAACUGGAGGCCAAGCAUGGUAAAGUCACGCCCCUGAGGGACAUAGACAUCAGUGGGGGAUACAAGGAGUGGAUCAAUGUCACCUUCAUUUUCAAGGACAAACGGAUAAAGGAGAAAGUCCAUGUUGUGGAUCCCAUAGGGAAUCUCCGACUCAAGGCUGCAGAAAAAUUCCUCCUCUAUGAUUCGUUGCUUACCUUUAAGCUGUACCACUUUGCCUGUGGACCUCACCACAGGGAGGAAGACCAGACAUUCGAGGAACUCUGUAAGCAGACCCAGUCCCUCCCCAUCAGUCGAUUCGACGUCAUGGAUGGAGACGAACUCUACGUGGAUGCGACGGAUAACGUAUUUCAGAAUGCGGAUGGAAGUCUCCAGUACUUCCACAUUUACAGUUACAUUGCAAAGUAGAGAAGAGUUCCGACCACUCUUUUUGUUAUUGACCAUGGUGUGAUAACAUUUGUCUUGUUUAAAGUAUCGUUGGAAGCUCUUUCAAAUAUUUCUCAACAAACUUGAUUCUUAUCAAAAAAGCAUUUCAAAAAUCGUUCGAAAAUAAGAAUUCUGAAACUAUGGAGUUAUUUAGGUUGAAAAGUUGAUGUAACAUUUUUACAUGAAUCAUUAGCAUUAAGGGCAUUUUUAAAAAACUAUUAUAUACACAAUAUAAAAUGUAAUGUAAAUGACUGUAGAUCAUUGGAAAGCAAACUUUGUGAUAUCUGUAUGCAAAUGAUCUCUCUUUUGGAAUGUAUCAAAAACUUUUAUUUUAAGUUACUUUUUAUAAUAUAUCUACAUGUAUAGUGGAACAAGCACCUUUGUAAUGCAUGAAGUUCCCUCCCUUGUUUAAAGAGUGACUCCGUUUGUUUUUGUGUUUUUGUUUGUUAAUACUUGUUUUUUUUUUAUUUAGUGCAUUAAUAAUUUUACACAUAUUUACAUAUAGUAUUAGAGCUAGUGAAAAUUCCAGAGUGUUAAACUCUUUUUUAACAGAUUUAUUUUGUUGCUUUUGAUUUUUACUUGUAUAUAAUCAAAAUACUGCAUACCAGUAGAAAAUAGUUAAGUUUAUUCCAGACAUUUGUCCAUUUCAUCCCUCUUCCUUACUGAAUUGACAUCAAAAUUCAAACUUCAGGUGCAUGCAUUAAUUUACAAUUUUCAGUACCUGUACCUGAUACAUCAUUGUUUUUAAAAAAAAAAUGCAUUAAGAUAUGGAAAAUUGAGCUGUAAAUAUCGAGUUUGAUUUCCUUUAAAUAUAAAUCAACAAUAAAAUCUCAUUACAUUUUAAUGGAAUCCAGUACCAGUUAUUUCCCUGUAGUUCGAUCAGACAAGAGUUAUUAGCAAGACAUGGCCCCAUAACAUGAUAACAUUGCAACAGCUAAUAAUGAACAACUAUAUGUUGUCAAUAGCUUGUAGAAUAUACAAUGAUUAUUCAGAUUUUUAACAGCUUGUAAGGUUCUGGAGAAAGUUUUUUUUGUCUUGUGUUGCAAAAAAAAUAUAUAUAUACACUAUAAAUUUGCAGGAUAUAUAAGUAUAUCAAAAGAAGACUGUACAGGCAAUUUAUGAUGAAUGUAAUUCAGUUUCUUUUCUGUAAUUUGAUUUAUUAAGUAACUUUUCUUAGUUUUUGGGACUUAUUUAGUUUGUUUGGUGUAUUUCUUGUGUAUGCACACUUUCUGAGUGCUAUAAUAAUUUUAGUGCCCAUUAUACACCUGUAAGUGAUCGAGGAUGUAUUGUGUUGUAACAAUGGGAGAAAGCAUCCUUACUGUGCUACAUCUCCAGCCCACAUACAUAUCAUGUUUUCCAUUGUUUUUUGUGACUACUGUAGGUGUAAUACACAUCUUUUUAUCUUAUUUUGAAAAUGUAAAAAAAAAAUGUGUACAUGUAAUAAAUAAAAAUAUUCUU
rnacentral:misc_RNA from 1 species